UCAAAAACACCACCAAACAUGUUCUAGGGUAUAAUUAGGAAUAUUGCAUGCGUUCGUUGCGAAAAAAUCCACCCGAGUUUCGCUACCCGGAAAUAGUGCAUUCGGGUGCCGAAAUGCACCCGUUUUGCAUCAUUUUUCGUUCCGGAACCGAAUGCUCAAAAACACUCCCAAACAUGUUCUAGGGUAUAAUUAUGAAGAUUGCAUGCGUUCGUUGCGAAAAAAUCCAAUCGAGUUUCGCUACACGGAAAAAGUGCAUUCGGGUGCCGAAAUGCACCCGUUUUGCAUCAUUUUUCGUUCCGGAACCGAAUGCUCAAAAACAUCUCCCAAACAUGUUUUAGGGUAUAAUUAGGAAGAUUGCAUGCGUUCGUUGCGAAAAAAUCCACCCGAGUUUCGCUACCCGGCAAUAGUGCAUUCGGGUGCCGAAAUGCACCCGUUUUGCAUCAUUUUUCGUUCCGGAACCGAAUGCUCAAAAACACUCCCAAACAUGUUCUAGGGUAUAAUUAUGAAGAUUGCAUGCGUUCGUUGCGAAAAAAUCCAAUCGAGUUUCGCUACACGGAAAAAGUGCAUUCGGGUGCCGAAAUGCACCCGUUUUGCAUCAUUUUUCGUUCCGGAACCGAAUGCUCAAAAACACUCCCAAACAUGUUUUAGGGUAUAAUUAGGAAGAUUGCAUGCGUUCGUUGCGAAAAAAUCCACCCGAGUUUCGCUACCCGGCAAUAUGCAUUCGGGUGCCGAAAUGCACCCGUUUUGCAUCAUUUUUCAUUCCGGAACCGAAUGCUCAAAAACACUCCCAAACAUGUUCUAGGGUAUAAUUAUGAAGAUUGCAUGCGUUCGUUGCGAAAAAAUCAACCCGAGUUUCGCUACCCGUAAAUAGUGCAUUCGGCUACCGAAAUGCACCCGUUUUGCAUCGUUUUUCGUUCCGGAACCGAAUGCUCAAAAACACUCCCAAACAUGUUUUAGGGUAUAAUUACGAAGAUUGCAUGCGUUCGUUGCGAAAAAAUCCACCCGAGUUUCGCUACCCGGCAAUAUGCAUUCGGGUGCCGAAAUGCACCCGUAUUGCAUCAUUUUUCGUUCCGGAACCGAAUGCUCAAAAGCACUCCCAAACAUGUUCUAGGGUAUAAUUAUGAAGAUUGCAUGCGUUCGUUGCGAAAAAAUCAACCCGAGUUUCGCUACCCGUAAAUAGUGCAUUCGGCUACCGAAAUGCACCCGUUUUGCAUCAUUUUUCGUUCCGGAACCGAAUGCUCAAAAACACUCCCAAACAUGUUGUAGGGUAUAAUUACGAAGAUUGCAUGCGUUCGUUGCGAAAAAAUCCACCCGAGUUUCGCUACCCGGCAAUAUGCAAUCGGGUGCCGAAAUGCACCCGUUUUGCAUCAUUUUUCGUUCCGGAACCGAAUGCUCAAAAACACUCCCAAACAUGUUCUAGGGUAUAAUUAUGAAGAUUGCAUGCGUUCGUUGCGAAAAAAUCCACCCGAGUUUCGCUACCCGGCAAUAUGCAUUCGGGUACCGAAAUGCACCCGUAUUGCAUCAUUUUUCGUUCCGGAACCGAAUGCUCAAAAACACUCCCAAACAUGUUCUAGGGUAUAAUUAUGAAGAUUGCAUGCGUUCGUUGCGAAAAAAUCAACCCGAGUUUCGCUACCCGUAAAUAGUGCAUUCGGCUACCGAAAUGCACCCGUUUU
rnacentral:lncRNA from 1 species